CUGCUGACUUGGGCAGCAAAGACACUGAAAUUGGAACGAUACAGAGAUUAGUAUGGCCCCAUGCAAGGAUGACAUGUAAAUUCAUGAAGCGUUCCAUAUUUUA